rnacentral:rRNA from 1 species
UACGUAGGGGGCAAGCGUUGUCCGGAAUUAUUGGGCGUAAAGAGCGCGUAGGCGGUCCGGUAAGUCGGUUGUGAAAGUCGGGGGCUCAACCCUCGGAUGCCGAUCGAUACUGCCGGGCUAGAGUCCGGAAGAGGCGAGUGGAAUUCCUGGUGUAGCGGUGAAAUGCGCAGAUAUCAGGAGGAACACCAAUGGCGAAGGCAGGUCACUGGGCCGCAACUGACGCUGAGGAGCGAAAGCAUGGGGAGCGAACAGG